AACGAACGCUGGCGGCAGGCCUAACACAUGCAAGUCGAACGCCGUAGCAAUACGGAGUGGCAGACGGGUGAGUAACACGUGGGAACGUACCCUUCGGUUCGGGAUAACUCAGGGAAACUUGAGCUAAUACCGGAUACGUCCGAGAGGAGAAAGAUUUAUCGCCGAGGGAUCGGCCCGCGUCUGAUUAGCUUGUUGGUGAGGUAACGGCUCACCAAGGCGACGAUCAGUAGCUGGUCGAGAGGAUGAUCAGCCACAUUGGGACUGAGACACGGCCCAAACUCCUACGGGAGGCAGCAGUGGGGAAUAUUGGACAAUGGGCGCAAGCCUGAUCCAGCCAUGCCGCGUGAGUGAUGAA
rnacentral:rRNA from 1 species